UGGUAGUGGGGGAUAACGUCCGGAAACGGGCGCUAAUACCGCAUACGUCCUGAGGGAGAAAGUGGGGGAUCUUCGGACCUCACGCUAUCAGAUGAGCCUAGGUCGGAUUAGCUAGUUGGUGGGGUAAAGGCCUACCAAGGCGACGAUCCGUAACUGGUCUGAGAGGAUGAUCAGUCACACUGGAACUGAGACACGGUCCAGACUCCUACGGGAGGCAGCAGUGGGGAAUAUUGGACAAUGGGCGAAAGCCUGAUCCAGCCAUGCCGCGUGUGUGAAGAAGGUCUUCGGAUUGUAAAGCACUUUAAGUUGGGAGGAAGGGCAGUAAGUUAAUACCUUGCUGUUUUGACGUUACCAACAGAAUAAGCACCGGCUAACUUCGUGCCAGCAGCCGCGGUAAUACGAAGGGUGCAAGCGUUAAUCGGAAUUACUGGGCGUAAAGCGCGCGUAGGUGGUUCAGCAAGUUGGAUGUGAAAUCCCCGGGCUCAACCUGGGAACUGCAUCCAAAACUACUGAGCUAGAGUACGGUAGAGGGUGGUGGAAUUUCCUGUGUAGCGGUGAAAUGCGUAGAUAUAGGAAGGAACACCAGUGGCGAAGGCGACCACCUGGACUGAUACUGACACUGAGGUGCGAAAGCGUGGGGAGCAAACAG
rnacentral:rRNA from 1 species